UCGGCCGCUGGGUGGAGGCGCGCCCGCGACUCGUCAGCGCGCUCGACCGGGUGGUGAACCGUGGCCGUCGGCUCCGGACGGACCGGCUGGC
rnacentral:tRNA from 1 species